rnacentral:rRNA from 1 species
CGAGAAGUAGUGCGUAGAGGGGCAGGAAGACAGAGGUUGGAGUCGUGGGUGGGGAGUACGGGGUGUAAAGCGCGUGUAGGCGGACCUGUAAGGUGGACGUGAAAGGCCUGUGGUGAACCCAGGAAUUGCAUCCAAAACUACAGGCCUAGAGUGAUGGAGAGGGUAGCAGAAUUCCUGGUGUAGAGGUGAAAUUCGUAGAUAUCAGGAGGAACACCGGUGGCGAAGGCGGCUACCUGGACAUCAACUGACGCUGAGACGCGAAAGCGUGGGGAGCAAACAGGAUUAGAUACCCGGGUAGUC